AACAUUGAAUAAACAUUGUUUUUCCAUCUGAAUCAUCAUUAUGGUUGAUAUUGAAAUUUCAAUGCAAAAUAAAUGUUGAAUCAACAUUAUCAUAUCGAUGAAAACCUGAUGUUAUUAAUGUUGAUGGCAACAAUAUUGGAACAACAUUGAUCCAUAGUUAUCUUUAUGAUUGAUUAAGCAUUGAUAUUUGGUUACCGGGUGAUCCCUGAAUGUGUUGAAAAGUAAUUGAUUUAUAGUGGACAGAGAAAUGAUGCUGUUGUUGAAAAGUCAUCGAAAUAUAGUUGACCGGGAAAUAUGAUAGAAAAUGCAUCGAAAUAUAGUUGACCAGGAAAUAUGAUUGAAAAUGCAUCGAAAUAUAGUUGACCGGGAAAUAUGAUUGAAAAUCCAUCGAUUUUUGGUUGACCGGGAGAUCAACGGGUGGUAUACCCAACGUACUGCACCGGACACAGCUCAUUUCUGGAGCCUUGGCACAAGCGUACAGGCUGCCAGAAAGAAUCCGUCUCUAUAGUGAGUGAUUAUUGAAUGAGGCUGUACAUUAUAAAUGUAAUGUUUUAACUCGAGAUGUUUGUUUGUGUAAAUGCUGUGUGUGCGCUGAGUUCUGCGCGAGCGGGGAGCAGAGUUGCCAUGGAAACGGGGCGUCAACACAAAAACCGUUACUGGCAAGCAGUAAUCUCCGUCUCUUGCUGCGGUUGACGCUGUUUUAGGAGGACAGAAAUAAACUAUACAGAACAAAGUGAAACUCCAAGAUUUUUGAAAAGAAAAUUGGUGAAAUAUAUUCUGAAAAAGGCAUAUUAAUGUAUUUCAUGAGCUUCUUCAGUAAAUCUGUAUUUCUAAGUCAGUAUCUCCCUUCAGAAAUGUGGCUGAAGGGAGAUACUGACUUAGAAAUACAGGUGAACUCAUGAAAAUAAGCUCAUGAAAUACUCAUGAAAGAAGCUCAUGAAAUACAUUAAUAUGCCUUUUUCAGAAUAUAUUUCACCAAAUUUAAGGAGUCCCUGACAUCAAAACAUUGCUUGUUUUGUUCCUGGACUCUUCAGUGAUGAUGAGCAGAGUCUGAGUGAACCUGCUGUCAGACAAUCACUAUUGCACACCAAAUGCUCUUACUCAGCAGAUGGGGACAGCUACCAUCACCCAAUUUUCACCCAAAAGUGGCUGCGCUAUGCGCCAGACCGGGCAGGAGGGACUGGACGACAACUUAUGCAGGCAUCAGAUGACAAUGAAGUGUAAAUAAAGAGUAGAGGCUAAUAAACAGGAAUUUGAUUUUCAA